GACUCUUCCAUGGUGUGAUAAUCCUUUAC
rnacentral:sRNA from 1 species